GGAUGUCCCUUACUGCUCUGUGUGUGUCCCUCUAAAAGCUGUAUGCUCAACUGAAGAAGUUGACUUUUGCAGUAGAGAACUGAUCUUUGGUAGAGGGUCCAUGAAUAGUUACAUUCACCUGCUAGAACCUCUAAACCAGCUUUGAGUAGUCAAAAAACUCAGCUUUUAGGUGUGGUCUCAGCUCUAUUCCUAGGAAUAGGCAGU
rnacentral:snRNA from 1 species